rnacentral:tRNA from 1 species
CAAAAUUUAGUUUAUCUAAAAUAGUAGUUUUGGGUACUACAGAUUUUUUUUUUUUUGA